AGUCUUCAGUGCGUCGCCCGACGUCUGCCGUGCAUCACGUGUGACUUCUUCAAGACUUGCUUCUGUGUUCCGGAGCCUUAUCUUAUCACGUAGCCUUCAGUUAUGCAGGUUGCUGGUUGGGGAAGGCAUCUUUGAAAACGGCUGAUGAUUGAAGAUGCAGUCUUAAACAGCAGGCCUUCGAGUGAAGAGACAGGAGGCAUCAUGAUGAUCUCGUUGUACCAGCUCGCAUUCUCUCCGCACGUGGCGUUGCUCCGGCACGUGGCACGCGGCGCCACUUGAGCGCGCUGCGACGGGGCGCAAGUGGCGCCACCAACACCUGAAGCGCCAAAGUCAACCUCACCUGCACGCGGCGCGCCCUGCUCACACCGACGAGGCUCUGACGACUCCCUGCUUCCACAACAUGAGGUCGAGGAGAUGAGAUGGUAGACUGUUUUACUUCUAAAACAGAUGCAUCAUCAUCUCUUAAUAUUACUGUAGAGAGAACUGAUCUCAGCUCACUUGAGUAUUGUAUAGAAGAUCUUGGAUAAGCACACCAUUGGAGCCGACUUUUACAUAUUGGGGAUGUAGGGAACUUAAUGUGGCAAGUGUGGAUUCAAAAGGAGGGGCUCCAAGGACCAAAAAAUGUUGGUCUUUUGAACUUCUCCGGUCAAACUUUGGGUCCCCACCUGACUGGUCGAGUACCUUACAGUGAUUUAGUAUAUAAUCUUAAUAAACUGAAAUCAUGAUAGAAAUAUUAUUGUAAUUAAGGUAUAAGAUAAUUAUUUAAUUGGUGUUUUCCUUACAGUUAAGUUAAGUAAACAAUAUGAUUUAA